AUACGUAGGGGGCGAGCGUUGUCCGGAAUGAUUGGGCGUAAAGGGCGCGUAGGCGGCCUGUUAAGUCUGGAGUGAAAGUCCUGUUUUCAAGAUGGGAAUUGCUUUGGAUACUGAUGGGCUUGAGUGCAGGAGAGGUUAUCGGAAUUCCCGGUGUAGCGGUGAAAUGCGUAGAGAUCGGGAGGAACACCAGUGGCGAAGGCGGGUAACUGGACUGCAACUGACGCUGAGGCGCGAAAGUGUGGGGAGCAAACAGGAUUAGAUACCCUGGUAGUCCACACUGUAAACGAUGAAUGCUAGGUGUAAGAGGUAUCGACCCCUUUUGUGCCGGAGUUAACACAAUAAGCAUUCCGCCUGGGGAGUACGGUCGCAAGGUUGAAACUCAAAUGAAUUGACGGGG
rnacentral:rRNA from 1 species